rnacentral:lncRNA from 1 species
GAUCAAUAAAAAUUUGAAAUCAUUGGAAGAGUGUUUACCAUUCAUAGAGUUUGCAUAUAAUCGAGCCAUACAUUCUACUACUUCAUUUUCUCCUUUUGAGAUUGUUUAUGGUUUUAAUCCACUAACACCUAUGGAUUUAAUACCUUUACCUGUGCAUGAAUGAGGUAGCUUGGAUGGGAAACGCAACGCAGAGAUGGUGAAAGCACUCCAUGAAAGGGUCAGGAUGCAGAUCGAAGAGAAAGGAAAGCUGGUUGCAUCAAAAGUAAAUAAAGGAAGGAGACGUGUUACAUUUGAACCUGGAGAUUGGGUCUGGGUGCAUUUCAGAAAGGAGUGUUUUCCAGAACAGAGGAAGUCGAAGUUGCAACCAAGAGGCGAUGGACCAUUUCAAGUCAUCGAGCGGAUCAACGACAAUGCCUACAAAGUGGACUUACCAGGUGAGUAUAAUGUUUCAGCUACUUUUAAUGUUGCUGAUCUAUCUCCUUUCGAUGCAGGUUCAGAUUCGAAGACGAAUCCUUUCGAAGAGGGAGGGGAUGAUAUGAAUCAAGGCACGUCCACAACCGAAGCGAGUCAAGCGACGAGUUACGAAAAGGAUCCAUUGAUAGUCGAAGGCGGACCGAUGACGCGAUCGAGGACGAAGCGAGUGAAAGAAGCAAUGGAGUUGCUUGUCAAGCAAAUGAUCGAUGAAACAAUGUUCGGGAGGUCAAAUGGAACAAGUUUCAUGUUAAGUGUCAAUUGGAUGGAAAAAUUGUUUGAAAUUUUAACUGUCCAGCAGGGUAAUGUCACGUGAUAAAUUGUAACCUAAGGCGUACACCAUGGCGUACAUGUAGUAAGGUCCUGAUUUUUGACUACUUGUUUGACACUUGCAUUGUUGUAAGUGUCAAUUGGAUGGGAAAACUAUUUAAAGUUUACACUGUGCAACAGGAAAAUGUCACGUGGCAAAGUGUAAACUAAAGUGUACACCAUAGUGUACAUGUAGCAACGUCCUUACCGAUUAAACUUUGCUAGUUGUACACUUAUUUUUGACACGUUGUUUGACACUUGCAUUGUUUGUCAAGUGUCAAUUGGACGAGAAAACUAUUUGAAAUUUAAACUAUCCAGCAGUGUAAUGUCACGUGGCAAAGUGUAAACGAAAGUGCACACCAUAGUAUACAUGCAGCAAGG